rnacentral:tRNA from 1 species
AAUUAAGUCAGCUAAUUAAGCUAAUGGGUUCAUACCUCAUAAAUGGAAAAAUUUAU